GUAAGAUGGCUGAAUAUUCAAGCGUUAGGCUGUACGACCUUUUUAUAGGGGUUAAAUUCCCUUUCUUAUCA
rnacentral:tRNA from 1 species